rnacentral:rRNA from 1 species
UCACUCUACGGGAGGCAGCAGUGGGGAAUAUUGCACAAUGGGCGCAAGCCUGAUGCAGCCAUGCCGCGUGUAUGAAGAAGGCCUUCGGGUUGUAAAGUACUUUCAGCAGUGAGGAAGGCGGGUGCGUUAAUAGCGUAUUCGUUUGACGUUAGCUGCAGAAGAAGCACCGGCUAACUCCGUGCCAGCAGCCGCGGUAAUACGGAGGGUGCGAGCGUUAAUCGGAAUUACUGGGCGUAAAGCGCAUGCAGGUGGUUUGUUAAGUCAGAUGUGAAAGCCCGGGGCUCAACCUCGGAAUUGCAUUUGAAACUGGCAGACUAGAGUACUGUAGAGGGGGUAGAAUUUCAGGUGUAGCGGUGAAAAUGCGUAGAGAUCUGAAGGAAUACCGGUGGCGAAGGCGGCCCCCUGGACAGAUACUGACACUCAGAUGCGAAAGCGUGGGGAGCAAACAGGAUUAGAUACCCUGGUAG